rnacentral:rRNA from 1 species
CGCGAAUUCGCCCUUCGGGGUGCAGCAGGCGCGAAAACUUUGCAAUACACGAAAGUGUGACAGGGCUAUCCCGAGUGCCAUCCGCUGAGGAAGGCUUUUACCCAGUCUAGAACGCUGGGGGAAUAAGGAAAGGGCAAGUCUGGUGUCAGCCGCCGCGGUAAUACCAGCUCUCCGAGUGGUGUGGAUGUUUAUUGGGCCUAAAGCAUCCGUAGCUGGCUAAGUUAGUCCCUUGUUAAAUCCACCGAAUUAAUCGUUGGAUUGCGGGGGAUACUGCUUGGCUAGGGGACGAGAGAGGCAGACGGUAUUUCCGGGGUAGGGGUGAAAUCCUAUAAUCCCGGGAAGACCACCAGUGGCGAAGGCUGUCUGCUAGAACGCGCCCGACGGUGAGGGAUGAAAGCUGGGGGAGCGAACCGGAUUAGAUACCCGGGUAGUCCCAGCUGUAAACGAUGCAGGCUAGGUGUUUGGACGGCCACGUGCCGUUCUAGUGCCGCAGGGAAGCUGUUAAGCCUGCCGCCUGGGGAGUACGAUCGCAAGAUUGAAACUUAAAGGAAUUGGCGGGGGAGCA